UCUAUACAAUAUACAUCUCCGAGGUCUGCUGAGCUCUUUGCGGCACAAGAGGAAUACGAGAUCUAGAUUUUGUUUUGUGAGAUCACUAACUUCAUUUUCUACAUAGACAACUGAAAAAACUUGAGAGAAGGUUUGUGGAUUAAAGAAAGGAAGAUCAAGAAACAGAGGUAUGGAAGCAGCAGGUGUUAGUAAGAAGAAAUGUUAAUAAAUCCAAGUUGUUUUGAGUUUGGAUAUUCAAUAUGGGCGGAUUUGGAAUUGGGGUUUUCAUGUGCGAUGAUCUUUGUGGUUUCUCAAAAUUUUCACCUGCUUCUUUAAUUUUACUAUUAGGGUUAUGGAGGCAUGAAUUCCAUCACCUUGGCGAUUUCAUCUGUAGGCGGAGAAGCUGAAUUGCUCAUUGCCUUAUAUGUUCUUCAGACACCAAUAUCAUUCAUUACAGAAAGCAGCUCAUUCAUUACAGAAAGCAGCUCAGGACCUCAGGUAAUUUGAAAAACAUUACAAGCUAUGGUCAGGAGUGCGAAGUGAAUGACGAGGUGUUUUUUCUGGAUUAUGGUCACUACGAUGUUCUAGAAGAAAUUUCUUUUCAAAAAUUUGAAAGCCAAGAAACAGAAGAAAUUGCAAGGAUCGGAGAUAGUGUUGCCUCUGUCGAAGAAAUUGAAUUUUCAGUGAUGCAGUGAAGCUAGUGAUGUGGGUAGGAUGGAGAUGAUCUCUCCCAAUUCAGCCAACAAAUGGUUUGAGGAGAAGCUAAUUAUACACCUGGAGGGAUAUAUCUAAAGCUUAGAAUCAUGAAUAGACGAGGAACCUACUUCGUAUUGCAAUAUUCAGCAUCAGUUGUACAUAAAUCACUCCCUGCUUUAGAGAUGAAGAUCAAGAAACUCAUGCUUAAAGAUGCCGAAUCCAAAAGAUUUAUCAACUGGUCAGAAAAGGGCAUAUUGAUCUCCCUUGAUGAACAUGAAAUUUAGAUGGAGUGAAAAUUUGAGUGUCAUACAUGAAAUUUAGAUAGAGUUAGCGAGGGACUGGAUUGGCUCUCGCCACUUCGAUAGUGUUCAACUUGCUGAUGUACUCAAGAUGCAAUCAGCUCAUCUAAAUGCAGGAUUUGAUUGUUAGGUGCAGCAUUUGUCCCAGAAAUGCCAAAGUUGUAAAGCACAUGACGCAGAAAGUCCGGAUCAACUCUCCUAUUGACUAUACCUUUCAACCUGGCUGAACACCAACUCCGUACUUCCCAUUACCAGUUGAUCAUGAACUUCUGGCCUUCGACGAAUGCUUGGCUUCUAAGUCCCCAUGUUUCCCUCUGUCUCAGUAACUUUCAAUAUGCACCGUCUGAAGGUGAGAAAAGAAUCUGACUCCACUCCAGCUAGUAGAUGUACAGCCGAAGCAUUGGAUGGAAACAAAUGUCUUUUUAUUUCAGUAACUUUCAAUAUGCACCGUCUGAAGGUGAGAAAAGAAUCUGACUCCACUCCAGCUAGUAGAUGUACAGCCGAAGCAUUGGAUGAAAACAAAUGUCUUUUUAUUUCACUGGACUGGAUAAACUCUCGA